rnacentral:rRNA from 1 species
AACGAACGCUGGCGGCAUGCCUAACACAUGCAAGUCGAAUGAUGCUUUCGGGCAUAGUGGCGCACGGGUGCGUAACGCGUGGGAAUCUGCCUUGGGGUACGGAAUAACUCAGAGAAAUUUGAGCUAAUACCGUAUGAUGUCUUCGGACCAAAGAUUUAUCGCCCUGAGAUGCGCCCGCGUAGGAUUAGCUAGUUGGUGGGGUAAAGGACUACCAAGGCGACGAGCCUUAGCUGGUCUGAGAGGAUGCUCAGCCACACUGGACUGAGACACGGCCCAGACUCCUACGGGAGGCAGCAGUGGGGAAUAUUGGACAAUGGGCGCAAGCCUGAUCCAGCAAUGCCGCGUGAGUGAUGGAGGCCUUAGGGUUGUAAAGCUCUUUUACCCGGGAAGAUAAUGACUGUACCGGGAGAAUAAGCCCCGGCUAACUCCGUGCCAGCCGCCGCCGUAA